UACGGGGGGGGCAAGCGUUGUUCGGAAUUACUGGGCGUAAAGGGCUUGUAGGCGGCCAACUAAGUCAAACGUGAAAUCCCUCGGCUUAACCGGGGAACUGCGCUUGAUACUGGAUGGCUUGAGAUUGGGAGAGGGAUGCGGAAUUCCAGGUGUAGCGGUGAAAUGCGCAGAUAUCAGGAAGAACACCCGUGGCGAAGGCGGUUCUCUGGGACGGUACUGACGCUGAGACGCGAAAGCGUGGGGAGCGAACAGG
rnacentral:rRNA from 1 species